UAUGACCUAAAGAUCGGAUUCCCCAAUUCCUCCUUUUGUUUCCUCCUUUCCGAAGACGGAUCCAAUUUCGGGUCGGUCGGUGGACCCGGACCCGAUGAUUCCAGAAUAAAAAAGAAAACCCUGGAAGCCCUAGAGAAAUUGUCUCCAGUUCACACAGAUCCAGGAGAGAUGUCGACGAUGGGUCCAGAAGAGGUGACAGAAGCGGGAGGAGGAGGAGGAGGAGGAGGAGGAGAGAGGUCGAUGAGGGGUCCGGAAGAAGACAGGGAUGCGAUGAUAGCGGAGGCCAAGCGGUUCGUGGAGAACUACUACAGCACGUUCGACGCGAACAGGGAGGGCUUGGUGAACCUGUACCGGCGACGAUCGGUGCUGAUUUUCGGCGGCCGGAAGAUCCAGGGCAAGGAGGCUAUCCUCGCCAAACUCACCUCCCUUCCGCAGCCGUGCCACCACGAAAUCGCCGAGUUCGAGUGCAGGACCUAUCGCUUGGCACCCGCAUCGGCAUCGGUCGCCGUGUCCGUCCUGGUCCGCGGCGGGACGUGGUUAGGCGGCAAGAAGGAGGAGGCGGACGCCGCCCUUAUAGAGCAGGUCUCUCUCUUUCUCUCGAAGUUAUUAUUUCUUGUCAACGCUUUGCAAGAAAUAAUACCGAGAGUACAUCUCAAGCUCCUUGUCUAACGCUCUGGCGGGCUCUGAUUCUUACCUUCAGAGCUUCGAUCUGGUGCCAGCACGACAAGGAAGCUUUUACAUAGCUCAACAAUCUGGGAUGUUCUUUGAUCUCAAGAAGCCUCGGACCGGGCGUAUGUCCACCUGGGUACCGAAACUUCCCGCCUCGGGAACGCCCAUGUAUGACUCGUUAUUUCAAAUGCUCAGCUCGGCAUACCCGCCGACGUCGGCUGCCACGGCACCGAGUACGCCUCCGCAUUUCGAACGCCUCAGCAUUUCGAAUCCGAAUACCCAUGAUGAAACUUCCUCCGUCUCUACAGAGACCUGAUGAUAAAACUGUUUUAUUUUCAAUGUUCUAGACUCUUGUUUUAUUUUCAAUGUUUCAUUGCAGUACUUUUGUGAAUACGUAUUGGAUUCAUGUUCGAAUCCAAGUUCAGCAUAUGUCAUACUGCUCUUAUGAACUGAACUCAGUGGCAGGGCCUUCUAAUUCUCGUGGUAAUAUGUUGCUCAGUAAAGUUGACUUGAUGUUUCAUGACAUUAGCAGUGAGGAAGUUUAAUAUUUAAGAAUAUGACUACAUAAGCAAUUACCAUCGCCCGACUUUUAGCACAAUUAAAAGCCGAUGGAUAUACAUAAUGGUGGCGCAGGGAAGUCCUAAUCUGAGAGCAUAUGCUCAUGAGAAAUGCGGUAUGCACUAGAAAGUACAUUGAAAUUUGGUUACUAAAUGACAUGAUAACUGAUUAUUGUUGGAUGAAAUAUGUUCACCGGACCCUACUCUUUAGAUAUUUGGUAAUUCAUAAUUAAAGCAGCUCAUAUGAGCUGGUAAAUCAUUUAGUAAAAGAAUAUCACAGCAAAUACUUUGUACCCUAACAUUGCUUUAUGUCCAUAUAAAGUGAGCUUGACUCAUUUAGCGUGAAACAAUACUCUCAGUAAAAUACCUAACACCGACUUGUGACACCUAAAGCUACACAUGAUAAAAUUUCUAUUCUCUGGUCUUCGAAACAGAUUUGGAACAGAAAUCCGUUUGGUAAUGUAAUUUGAUUUUUCUAUUUCUAGAACAAAUUUCUAUUCCAUAAAUUGAUUUGAAGGAGAAACCUGAAGUUAAAAUUUUUAACUUCUCAAAAUCCGUUUGGUAAUAUAAUUUGAUUUUUCUAUUUCUAGAACAAAUUUCUAUUCCAUAAAUUGAUUUGAAGGAGAAACCUGAAGUUAAAAUUUUUAACUUCUCAAUUUCUAGUAAGAAAUUAAUUUCCGUUCUAGAAAUUUUGUUGUGCGCACCAUAAAAGAUUAGGUUUGUUGACUUUUAGUCAAUUAAUGGAUUUGAGAACCUCUGCCCCAUAGAGGCAGGCAAAAGCAUUUGGAACAAUUCUGCUUGACACCUUUUUUCAUGUUUGUCGGUACCCGCUGACAACUUAAAACACAUGAAACCAAAAAUAUUGGCCCCGGAGGUUUCCGUGCAUUCUUUUUACCUUGUCGAUGCGCAUGCCACUUGCCGGCUGGAGAAGAUGACUCACUUGCAGUUCAGGUGCCUAAAGUAUUAAACAAAAACCAAACCAAAGAAUCCUUGCUUGUCAAGUUGGUUGACAGAUAAUGCAUUUGAAGGAUCCAUGAAGACCAUAUAGCCCAUAGAAAAUAUUAGGUACCCUAAGAGUGCCACACAAUUUUUGUUCUGAAUUAUUCAGAGCAUGACACAUGUCCAUCUCUCUUCCACAUCAUCCCACUCUCUCAUUUGUAGUCCCUCUUUGUUAAUGCUUUGACGCUCUCUCUCCUCUGCUCUCCUCUGUAGACGGUCUCUCUCCUCUCUCUCCUCUAUGUCUCUCGCUUCCAUCACCCCUCAUCAAGUGAAACGCGAUGCCAACGGCCCUCCACCUUUAAUGGUUGCCUCCGUUGCCCCCGACUUUGACGCCAACGCAGCCUCUGCCUCCUCUCUUGAACCCGACUCUGACACCAACACCCCUUUGCCUCCCUCUUGCUACCUCUAGUCCUCUCUCUCUCUCUCUCUCUCUCUCUCUCUCGUCCUCAAAGUCGCGUCUCUCUUCCAGCAAACCACAAUGCUGACGCCCCUCUGCCAGUUGCCUCCGUCGCCCUCGACUCAGACACCAACGCCUCUACCUCUGCUUCUGCCUCCACUUACGUGCCUAAUGCCAACGAACCCUUGCUCGCGUUUUGACCUUCCUCUCUGCAAACGAAGGUCGCUCUGCUCACUCUUUCUCUCUUUCCUCCACAAAGCACCCCUGCUCUUGAACGCGGACGCCGCCGACGCCGUUGCCUCCCACCAUUGCCUUCCCAAGCCCCACUGAUAGAGAGAUUGUCUGCAAUUUUGUUCUCAGCAAUUUUUUUUUCCCCGCAACGGAAGAGAGAACGGGGAGAGAGAUAGUUUGCAGAGGAGAGAGAGCGUUAGAGCAGUGGGCCAGGGACUAUGGAAGAGAAGAGAGAGUGGGAUGGCGUGGGAGAGAGACGAACAUGUGUCAUGCUUUGAAUGGUUUAGAGUAAAAAUUGGGUGGCACUCUUAGGGUACCUAAUAUUUUCUCAUCAUUCUAUACAACCACCUUGACACGAAUUAUGAGAGGGUAGAGUGGCUUGACAACCUCUGUAACACGAAGACGACAAGAAUGACUUUCAGACAACAACCUUGUUGCAGAGCCGGGCGACAACUCCAUACCUUCUCAACCCUCAGAUAUGUCCUAGCAUUCACUGGAUGGAAUAGUAGACAAUUGUGAUAUCAGCAUAUCAAUCCAACAAUUUCCGGUAAAAUCUUUACUUAGCGCCAAUCCAACUGUAUCUGCAGUAUCAGGACUCAUAACAAAUGAGGGGCCGUAGAAAUUUUACCUAUUCGGGGUACUGUUUCGCCAAAUUUCCCUCUCGACCGCUCCGCCAGAGCUUCGCAUUCUCUCUAAUGAAACAAAUCCCUCACUCCAAUACUCAUUGCGACAAUCUCCCUCCUCGUUCUACUAUCCUCAACAUCCCCAACUCUCUCCCAAACCAUAUCACACUCGUCCUCCAAUUUGCUCAAGUGUCUCCUCAAAUUCACCCGCUUUUGCAGCCAUCUUCUCAUUCUCCCUCUUCACUCUCAUCGCCUCAUCAACAAUCUCCUCUGACCCCCUAACGAACCCCUCUUUCUCUCUCAUCAAUUCCCUCAGCUCCUCGUACGUACCCCCGCCCGCAUUGUGUCCUCCUGCAAUUGCCGUUUUUCCAAUUUCACCGCCUUCAUCGCCACCUCCACCUCCUCGACACGCCCCUCCCCUCUCCUAAUCACAUCCAUACAUCUGAGAACCACCGAAACCUUCUCCAGCAAUCUCUUCGUGCAAUUCCAAUACUCGUGCCAUUUCACGUCCGACCGCUCCUCAAUUUUCUCCAAAUUCAGGCGUAGAAGGGGCUGAACUGGAAAAAGAAAAAACAAGGGGGGGCUUUCUAGUCUUUUCAGCCGAAAGAACCGGUUUCGGGUCGGUCGGUGGAUCCGGACCCGAUGAUUCCAAAAUAAAAAAGAAAACCCUGGAAGCCCUAGAGAAAUUGUCUCCAGUUCACACAGAUCCAGCAGGAGGAGAUGUCGACGAUCGGUCCAGAAGACGUGACAGAAGCGGAAGGAGGAGGAGGAGGAGAGAUGUCGAUGGUGGGUCCGGAAGAAGACAGGGAUCCGAUGAUAGCGGAGGCCGAGCGGUUCGUGGAGAACUACUACAGCACGUUCGACGCGAACAGGGAGGGCUUGGUGAACCUGUACCGGCAACGAUCGGUGCUGAUUUUCGGCGGCCGGAAGAUCCAGGGCAAGGAGGCUAUCCUCGCCAAACUCACCUCCCUUCCGCAGCCGUGCCACCACGAAAUCGCCGAGUUCGAGUGCAGGACCUAUCGCUUGGCACCCGCAUCGGUCGCCGUGUUCGUCGGGGUCCGCGGCGGGACGUGGGUAGGCGGCAAGAAGGAGGAGGCGGACGGCGCCCUUAUACAGCAGGUCUCUCUCUUUCUCUCUAAGUUAUUAUUUCUUGUCUACGCUUUGCAAUUUCUCUAUCGAUCAAUCCAUUAAUCAAUCGCAUCGCGCAUAAAUACCGAGAGUACGUCUCAAGCUCCUUGUCUAACGCUCUGGCUGGCUCUGAUUCUUACCUUCAGAGCUUCGAUCUGGUGCCAGCACGACAAGGAAGCUUUUACAUAGCUGAACAAUCUGGGAUGUUCUUUGAUCUCAAGAAGCCUCGGACCGGGCGUAUGUCAACCUGGGUACCGAAACUUCCCGCCUCGGGAACGCCCAUGUAUGCCUCGUUAUUUCAAAUGCUCAGCUCGGCAUACCCGCCGACGUCGGCUGCCACGGCACCGAGUACGCCUCCGCAUUUCGAACGCCUCAGCAUUUCGAAUCCGAAUACCCAUGAUGAAACUUCCUCCGUCUCUACAGAGACCUGAUGAUAAAACUGUUUUAUUUUCAAUGUUCUAGACUCUUGUUUUAUUUUCAAUGUUUCAGUGCAGUACUUUUGUGAAUAGGUAUUGGAUUCAUGUUCGAAUCCAAGUUCAGCAUAUGUUAGAGUCAGAUUGCAGUUAUGAACUCAGUGGUAGGGCCUUCUAAUUCUCGUGGUAAUGUGUUGCUCAGUAAAGUUGACUUGAUGUUUCAUGACAUUAGCGGUGAGGAAGUUUAAAAUUUAAGAAUAUGACUACAUAAGCAAUUACCAUCGCGCGACUUUUACCACAAUUAAAAGCCAGAUGGAUAUACAUAAUGGUGCGCAGGGAAGUCCUAAUCUGAGAGCAUAUGCUCAUGAGAAAUGCGGUAUGCACUAAGAAAGUGCAUUGAACUAAAUGACAUGAUAACUGAUUAUUGUUGGAUGAAAUAUGUUCACCGGACCCUACUCUUUAGAUAUUUGGUAAUUCAUAAUUAAAGCAGCUCAUAUGAGCUGGUAAAUCAUUUAGUAAAAGAAUAUCACAGAAAAUACUUCGUACCCUAACAUUGCUUUAUGUCCAUAUAAAGUGAGCUUGAAUUAUUUAGCGUGAAACAAUACUCUCAGUAAAAUACCUAACACUGACUUGUGACAUCUAAAGUUACGUAGGAUAAAAUUUCUAUUCUCUGUUCUUCUAAACAGGUUUAGAAUAGAAAUUCGUUUGGUAAUGUAAUUUGAUUUUUUUUAUUUCUAGAAUAAAUUUCUAUUCCAGAAAUUGAUUUGAAUGAGAAAUCAGAAGCUAAAAUUUUUAAUUUUUCAAUUUUUGGCCAAAAAUUGAUUUCCGUUCUAGAAAUUUAAUUUUGUCGUGUGCACACUAAAAGACUAGGUUUGUUGACUUUUAGUCAAUUAAUGGAUUUGAGAACCUCUGCCCCAUAGAGGCAGGCAAAAGCAUUUGGAACAAUUCUGCUUCACCUUUGCCAAGAAUCUCUACCCCCCUUGACACCUUUCUUCAUGUUUGCCGGUACCCGCUAACAACUUAAAACACAUGAAACCAAAAAUAUUGGCCCUGGAGGUUUCCGUAUUCUUUUUACCUUGUCGAUGUGCAUGCCACUUGCCGGCUGGAGAAGAUGACUCACUUUUAGUUGAGGUGCCUAAAGUAUUAAACAAAAACCAAACCAAAGAAUCAUUUGCUUGUCAAGUUGGCUGACAGAUAAUGCAUUUGAAGGAUCCAUGAAGACCAUAUAGCCCAUCAUUCUAUGAGAAAAUAUUAGGUACCCUAAGAGUGCCACGCAAUGUUUGCUUUGAAUUAUUCAGAGCAUGACACAUGUCCAUCUCUCUUUCACGUCAUCCCACUCUCUCUUCUAUAGUCCCUCUUUGACGCUCUCUCUCCUCUGCUCUCCUCUGUAGACGGUCUCUCUUCUCUCUCUCCUCUAUGUCUCUCGCUUCCAUCGCCCAUCAUCAAGCGAAACGCGACGCCGACGGCCCUCCACCUCAGCUAGUUGCCUCCAUUGCCCCCGACUUUGACGUCGAUGUCGACGUCAACGCAGCCUCUGCCUCCUCUCCUAAACCCGACUCUGACACCAACACCCCUCCGCCUCUCUCUUGCUACCUCUAGUCCCCACCCCCUCUCUCUCUCUCUCUCUCUCUCUCUCUCUCUCUCUCUCUCUCUCUCUCUCUCUUGUCCUCGAAGUCGCGUCUCUCUUCCAGCAAACCACAACACUGACACUCCUCCGCCAGUUGCCUCUGUUGCCCUCGACUCAGACACCAACGCCUCUACCUCCGCCUCCGCCUCCACUUAUGUGCCUAACGCCAACGAACCCUUGCUCGCGUUUUGACCUCCCUCUUUGCAAGCGAAGGUCGCUCUGCUCGCUCUUUCUCUCUUUCCUCCAUGAAGCACCCCUACUCUUGAACGCUGACACCGCCAACGCUGUUGCCUCCCACCAUUGCCUUCUCAAGCCACACUAAUAGAGAGAUUGUCUGCAAUUUUGUUCUCCGCAAUUUUGUUCUCUCCGCAACGGAACAGAGAACAGGGAGAGAGAGUUCGCAGAGGAGAGCAGAGGAGAGAGAGCGUUAGAGCAGUGGGCCAGGGACUAUGGAAGAGAGAGUGGGACGGCGUGGGAGAGAGACGGACAUGUGUCAUGCUCUGAAUGAUUUAGAGUAAAAAUUGGGUGGCACUCUUAGGGUACCAAAUAUUUUUUCAUCAUUCUAUACAACCACCUUGACACGAAUUAUGAGAGGGUAGAGUGGCUUGACAACCUUUGUAACACAAAGACGACAAGAAUGACUUUCGGACAAAAACCUCAACUCCAUACCUUCUCAACCCUCAGAUAUGUCCUAGCAUUCACUGGAUGGAAUAGUAGACAAUUGUGGUAUCAGCAUAUUAAUUUGACAAUUUGCGGUAAAAUCUUUACUUAGCUCCAAUCCAACUGUAUCUGCAGUAUCAGGACUCAUAACAAAUGAGGGGCCGUAGAAAUUUUACCUAUUCGGGGUACUGUUUCCCCAAAUUUCCCUCUCGACCGCUCCACCAGAGCUUCGCAUUCUCUCUAAUGAAACGAAUCCCUCACUCCAAUACUCAUUGCGACAAUCUCCCUCCUCGUUCUACUGUCCUCAACAUCCCCAGCUCUCUCCCAAACCAUAUCACACUCGUCCUCCAAUUUGCUCAAGGUCUCCUCAAAUUCACCCGCUUUUGCAGCCAUCUUCUCAUUCUCCCUCUUCACUCUCAUCGCCUCAUCAACAAUCUCCUCUGACCCCCUAACGAACCCCUCUUUCUCUCUCUUCAAUUCCCUCAGCUCCUCGUACGUACCCCGCCCGCAUUGUCUCCUCUUCCUGCAAUUGCCGUUUUUCCAAUUUCACCGCCUUCAUCGCCACCUCCACCUCCACCUCCACCUCCUCGACACGCCCCUCCCCUCUCCUAAUCACAUCCAUACAUCUGAGAACCACCGAAACCUUCUCCAGCAAUCACUUCGUGCAAUUCCAAUACUCGUGCCCUCUCACUUCCGACCGCUCCUCAAUUUUCUCCAAAUUCAGGCGAAGAAGGGGCUGAACUGGAAAAAGAAAAAACAAGGGGGGGCUUUCUAGUCUUUUCAGCCGACGGAGAACCGGUUUCGGGUAGGUCGGUGGAUCCGGACCCGAUGAUUCCAGAAUAAAAGAAAGAAAACCCUGGAAGCCCUAGAGAAAUUGUCUCCAGUUCACACAGAUCCAGGAGAGAUGUCGACGAUGGGUCCAGAAGAGGUGACAGAAGCGGAAGGAGGAGGAGGAGAGAUGUCGAUGAGGGGUCCGGAAGAAGACAGGGAUGCGAUGAUAGCGGAGGCCAAGCGGUUCGUGGAGAACUACUACAGCACGUUCGACGCGAACAGGGAGGGCUUGGUGAACCUGUACCGGCAACGAUCGGUGCUGAAAAUCGAGGGCCGGAAGAUCCAGGGCAAGGAGGCUAUCCUCGCCAAACUCAUCUCCCUUCCGCAGCCGUGCCACCACGAAUUCCCCGAGAUCAGUUGCUGCACCUAUCGCUUGGCACCCGCAUCGGCAUCGGUCGCCGUGCGCGUCCUGGUCCGCGGCGGGACGUGGUUAGGCGGCAAGAAGGAGGAGGCGGACGCCGCCCUUAUACAGCAGGUCUCUCUCGUUCUCUCUAAGUUAUUAUUUCUUGUCAACGCUUUGCAAUUUCUCUUAUCGAUCAAUCCGUUAAUCAAUCGCAUCGCGCAUAAAUACCGAGAGUACAUCUCAAGCUCCUUGUCUAACGCUCUGGCUGGCUCUGAUUCUUAACCUUCAGAGCUUCAAUCUGGUGCCAGCACGAGGAGGAAGCUUUUACAUAGCUCGACAAUCUGGGAUGCUCUUUGAUCUCAAGAAGCCUCGGUCCGGGGGUCUGUCCUACUGGCUACCGAAACCUCCCUGCUCGGCAGCGCCCUUUCUUGGCCCGUUAUAUCAAAUCCUAUCCUCGGCAUACCCGCCGACGUCGGCUGCCACGGCACCGAGUACGCCUCCGCAUUUCGAACGCCUCAGCAUUUCGAAUCCGAAUGCCACCCAUGAUGAAACUUCCUCCGUCUCUACAGAGACCUGAUGAUAAAACUGUUUUACUUUCAAUGUUCUAGACUCUUGUUUUAUUUUCAAUGUUUUGUUGCACUACUUUUGUGAAUACGUAUUGGAUUCAUGUUCGAAUCCAAGUUCAGCAUAUGUCAUACUGCUCUUAUGAACUGAACUCAGUGGCAGGGCCUUCUAAUUCUCGUGGUAAUAUACUUAAUGCUUCAUGACAUUAGCAGUGAGGAUGUUAAUAUGAUGGACAUACAUGAUGGUGGCGCAAUACCUCGCCCAUGCUUCUAGAGGAAAUAACUUUUCUUUUAACAUACAAGUUUUAUUUCAUGACUUUAAUAUAGUACAGAUAAUCAUGAGUUAAGAUAAAAAUAAAUAGGGAGCAAUUUACAUUUUGGCCGCCAUCGGCGAAAUGGAAGGUAGACAGAUGACUCUAGGACUAGAAUAUUAUAGUAAAUACUUUGUAUCCCUAGUAUUGUUUUAUGUCCGUAUAAAUUGAACCCGACUCAUUCAGCACGAAACACUCUCAAUAGAAUUCCUAACACCAACUCGCGACACCUAAAAGACUAGGAUUGCCGACUUAUAGUCAUCUGACAAAACCAGGAUUUGAGAACCUCUGCCCAUAUAGGCAAAGGCAUUUGGAACAAUUCUGACAAAAUCAGGAUUUGAGAACCUUUGCCCAUAUAGGCAAAAGCAUUCGACAAAACCCGGAUUUGAGAACCUCUGCCUAUAUAGGCAAAGGCAUUUGAAACAAUUAUGACAAAAUCAGGAUUUGAGAACCUCCGCCCAUAUAGGCAAAAGCAUUCAGAACAAUUCUACUUCACCUUGCCGAGAUCUCUCUCUCUCUCUCUCUCUCUCUCUCUCUCUCUCUCUCUCCUCAUGUCAGCCACUACCCGGUGACAACUUAAACACAUGGAACCAAAAAUAUUGGCCCCCGAGGUCUCCGUGAAUUCUUUCAACUUUGUUCAUGCGCAUACCACUUGCAGUUCAGGUGCCUAAAGUAUUAGAAAAAACCAAAUCAAAUAAUCCUUGCCAGUCAAACUGGCUGAUAGAUAAUGCACUUGAAGGAUCCAUGAAGACCCACGAAGACCAUAUAAACCAUCAUUCGAUAUUGCCUUGACACAAAUUAUGGGAGGGUAGAGUGGCUUGACAGCCUCUGCAACAGAAGGACGACAAUACUGACUUUCAGACAACCCACCUUUUAGCAAAGUUGGGCGACAACCAUGGACCUGCUCAGCCCUCAAAUAUGCCCUAGCACUCCUUGGAGUAGACAAUUGCCCAUCAAUGAAUGCACGAAAGAAGUGAUACUGUAAAACAAAUCGAGGACAAAAACUUCAUGAACAUUUACUGGCUCAACGUGGCUGUUUAUUAUUUUUCCACCGAUUUUAUUGAUAACUGUCAAGAUUGUUGAGAGAAACAACAACAAAUUCAGGUAGCGGGUGUAUCGGGGAGCACAUUACACAAUGGACUUGAUCAUUUUCAUCCUCUGCUGGAGGGGGGAGAUUUCUUAGCCUCAGAUGGUUUGUCGAUGCCACAAUCAUGUUUGUUACACUUUGUCCGGAAUGAAUAAUUUACGUUACUGCAUUGCUCACACUUCCAACUACUCUCUGGCAUUUUUGUUUUGAAAGUCACUUUAUAAAUGAGUACCAAUAUAGACGAAUACGAGGCAAGCAACACGGCCAGUAGUGAUAACUUACUAUAGUUCUUUUCAGAGUUUGAAACCUGCAGUUGAAGAGCAUAAAAAUCUGUUAAUUUAAACCAAUAAGCACUCUUCAGCUGAAACAAAUUGGCUAGAGCAAAGUUAUAGCUCCGGAAUACGAUAAACACAUGAAAGAAAGCCACAAAGUUUAAUCUCCUCAAGCUGCUAAAUUGUUUGCCAAAGCAACACCGACCCAUGAUUCAGGCUUUGGAGCAUUGCACUCUUCACACCGUUCUAAAAGAGAAGUAAACAUUUCCACAAUCCGGGCACGUCCGAUCAUUAUCGCGUGUUGCAUCUACAACGUAUUUCAAGGAAAUCUAAUGUCAGUUGGAGAUAAACCGGUAUUCUUAUUGUUAAUUCUAAAAGCAAUCACCAGCACAUGGAAUACCAACCUGCCCCCUUCUUUUGAAGUUUAUCACCGGGGAAAAAUCCCGGCCGUGGUCCCUGGGAGAAUAAAUGCCAAAACAAUGACAUGCAGAAUAUCUGAAAUAGUGAAAAGGAAAAAGCAGCAACAUCCAAAGACAGAGAAAUUUCACAUAGAUCAUGCCACCGAACCCAUCGGAAGCCCCAGCCAUAUCUGUCCAUCAUAGGAGGCAUCCCAUACAUUCCACCUGAACCGAAUCCCUUAUGGGUCGUUUUUGUCAUAUGUUUCUUUUUUAAUUAUUCUUUUGCCAUUUGUCUCGUGUGUUUUCUUGCACUGUUGGUAUAGGUAUGUAAUACAGAUGCUUCCCUUACUGUUGGUAUCUAGUCAUAUAUAGUUUAAUGAACGAAAUCUCAAAUAAUUGGUAAAUCAUUGAAGGAAUGAUGAUUAUAUUAUGUCGGUAGUCUAAUACGCAAUAUAAUAGUCGGCAAUAUGCACCCGCUAUUUUGGGAUAGUGAUCUAAAUUUUCAUAAUCUCAUAUUAUACAACUCGUGAUGUGCUAUAAUCUUGAUUUCAAAUUAUAUCAAUCAAUGCUCGAAUUUCAAAUGCAAUUACUAUUUCAACUAUGCUGUUAAUUAUGUAAUAAAAAUAAAUUUAAUAGCAUAUUAUAUGACUAAGUACAGCCUAUUACCUUAAAUUAUUUAUUUAAUUUUACAUACCGAAUAGCGAUUUUUUGAUGAUAUAUAUAGAGUACUACACUCGCGAUCGAUAUUAGGUAAUAACUACCGUGACAUAGUAUUUGCUUUGAUGCAAUCCCACGUCAUACGCUUAACUUUUGAUCAUAAUCAAUAACUAAAUUAUUAAAAGUAUAAAUAAACAUUUGAUAGAACAUAUUGUGUAUACAAUAAUUUAUAUACAAUAAUUUAUAUAGGAAGCUAAACUCAUGAGUCAAAAUUAAUUUUGAUAUUCCUUCAAAUCUUGAUUUUAGGGAAGUAUUUUUAGAUUUCUGUUCUAUUUGGACCUGGAAGAGUUUAAUCGAAACGGGAGUAGUCGCAGGUAGAAUGCUUCCUGAUGCGGCCUUUUUGGGUUUGGCCCGUUUUGGGUGGGUGGGGAGGGGCAGAGUCGUGACUGAGUUGAGCCGCUUAGGGGCUAUUUGGGCUCUACUUAUUAAUCAAUCAUCAGAGCAUGAGCCUCUGGACUCAUGAUCACCACGUAAGCAGAAACCAUCUCAAGACAGAAAGAAAACCAGAUAGAGCUUGACGACAUUAGCUCAUAUGUGAAAGAACAGAGUCUAAUCCCCAUCGGAGGUUCCAUUUUAGCCAGGAUAGAACUUAAGCUCAACAGGUUGACAUUUAGGCAAGAGAUGAAGGAGAUGAGCAACCAUCUGUGGUAAGGGCUUGCAAGAAGCAAGAGACUCCAAGGACAAAUGGAAAAAGGGGUACUAAAAAAUUAAGAGAAUAGUUGGCUAGGAAAGGUCUCAUGAUGAUAAGAGAGGACAUAGACUUCUCCUUAAGUAUCAUGCGGAAGAAGCUAAAUAAUAUAAAGUGGCACCUGAGAAUAGACUCUUAACUUUACAAGUGACAUUCUAUCAUUCAGACCACCUGCUGUUAACAGAGGAGGAUUUAACUGUAUCAUGACAUAGAACAAAACAAAGCUACAAAAGUAAGCUAGACAGCUCCAGAUCUACCUAUCAAGAUUUCAAACUCAAGCGACUCCUCGACAAUGUUUUCUAGAACUCGAUGAUUUUUCUGUAACAUUCCCUUUGCUUUGCGACAAGCCAAAUAGUACAUCUGCGAAACAAGGAUCCAUCAAAGAAUCUUGCACUCGACCAGAGAUUUGCGGCUCUUUCAAUUUGGACUAUUGAAUAAUAGUAAGCCAGACAAAGCCUCAUAGCAACGGACAAAUGCCUUUUCGACUUUAGCAUGGUUGUUCCCCAUGCUCAAAGCUGUAACCUAGAGAAAUAGAAACGUACAAACAGAAUUAAGGUAAAGCGCAUCAAAGAUUCCCAGCUGGAACAUGAAGCUUCAAUACAUAACAGCGUCGAGAAUGAUCCGCAUUUGUCCAUUUCACAAUCAUAAAGUGCAUGCAAAAUGGACCGGAGAAGUACUGCACUACUGUGAUAGUAAAUUGCAGGACUGUCUCCGCCGGUACUUGUGGAUUCAAUCGUGCAAGAAGGGGGGACACCAUUUGCUUCUCAUCAAGCCCCCAACCGUACUGAAUGACCAUUCCUGUCGCCAUCCGUCACAGGUUAUGUAUCUUAAUAUAUAUGUCUACAUGUAUUCACCUUUCGCUGUGAGAGUUUUCUCAUGAAAGGUAAUCUAAGGUAGAGAACAUCGACAAACUUCUCAAAGCAUAAUGUUACAGGACCAACCUCUUGAGUUUGCUUCAGUUCGGAAGAAGAGAGAAAAUUCUUCCCCGGGAGGAAGUAGAAGCUGUGAAGCAACAUCCAAACCAAAGCAAAAUACAAGCUACUUUUCAAGGUAUGAUCUUAGUUCUGAGUUAGCAUUAACAGAGCCUUCACUCCGUGCCUCGGUGAUCUUUGUACAGCCAAUUCCCUGCAAGAAAGGGGUCAAAGUGAACGUCUUUAUAAGACCAAGGGCUCUAAAAUCCCAUAAGGCAUGCAUCUGCAAAUAACUUCUCCUGCGAAGAGGAGAACAAGAACAACCCAGGACACAUGUGGAUACGCUCAAUGUAGCACAAUGAUUAAAUUAAAUCUGCCAAAAUGCUCCAAUGACAGAUAAAGCCAUAAAUAGACAUCUCACGUCAUUGUGUUCGACUGUUUUGAUAUCCCGUUUCAUAUUAAACUCUUGAUCCUUAGAUACGACGGCAAGGAUCAUGGCCAACAAAAGCAUGGGACUGAUUCACUGAGUGCCCAGAUAAAGAAGGUAAUUUAUCAUUUCAAUAGCAUGAAUGGAUGACAGUACCACUGAAUGAAAAGUUCGAUAACGAACAACAUGCCAAUGCACAUAGCUUGUAAAGUGCCAGAAGGAAAAAGCACAAAAAAGAUUGAAAUGGCGAGCUGACAUCCAUGAAGGAUGACAUUCCCUGUUCAGCAGUAGAACAGGACCCCUAAAAUAGGAAUAAGGCUCUUGCAGGUACUUGCUCAUAAGCUUAAUAAGGCGCAUGCUAUUUCAUUACAAGAAAGAAAAAGAGGACAAUAACCUGCCACGAAGAUGGUUCAAGCCACAAAUUGUCGACUACAUCAAAGUUUGAUAGUCAAAGAGCUAUAAGGCCAUGACCAGCUGCCCAAACAGCAUGAGGGAACUUGGUUUCCUCUGUCCACUUUCAAAUCAUCCAUAUUAUGCAAGUCGCCUCGAAGAAACCAACGGAACUUGUACGCAUAAUGAUAUCAUCGUUUGUUCGCCGGUCUGGGUAUAUCAAGUUAGCUAAAUUUUUAGAACAAUGAUUCGUAUCUGAUAACCCUACCACCUUCUAUUUUUAACCACUGAAUUUGUUGUACUCCCGAUUCUUUAGAGUGCGCAAAAAAUAAAACAGCAGAAAUUUAUAGAUUAGAAUUUUGUCAAUUUUUAGAAUUGUUCGGAAGACAAUAGCCCGGGAUAGUCCAACAAACUAAUAGUAAGCAUCAAGGAGAAUUAAUUGAGCAUAACUCCAUUGUUUAUUUGGCCGUACGGUUCAAUUAGAUCAACGACAUUCUGUGAGUCCUCCUCAGUCAAUGUCAGCCCCAGAUGAUUCACCAGCAUUCGGCUAAUCUGCCUCACAACUUUCGUUUGCCGAAUCCAUUUAGGAACCAUAUUGCUCAAGGCCUAUGCAAAAUAAUGAGCGAAUAAUAUGCAUAUGGUAUAAAAUAUAUCACAUAAUGGGUAACCGCUCCAACCUCCAAAACUUCCAUUUUUACUCUCCUCCGAGAAUGAGAUUAGAGCACAAAGUCCCGGUGCUUAUUGGUUUUAGCAAAGAGAAAAUGAUCGAUUCAAGCAGAACUGAAUUUUGCUUCCCCUUACUCUUCGUCAAUUAUAAUUUAUUUUCCCUUUCCGCUGAACAAAAGAAAAAGGGACAUGCAGCCAGUUCCAUGGACCCCCGGGAAUCGGAUCGGGCAAAUCCGAAUCCAAAGCCGAAUAGGUUGGUUCCCAAUUUCACAAACUAGGACCCAGCCCCGUCUGGUCAAGUUCCCGGUUCCGGAGUGGGCCAAUUUAGCUCAGAAUCUACCCAUAAUCGGGUUCAAACAGUUCAGAGAAAAUUCAAAAUAACUUGGAAUUACCACCGCUCAAAGUUAGAAAAUCAAUCGUCAAAAAAAGUUAAAAAAUCAACAUCCCACUGAGAACCUUUCAGAUCAUCAUGUAACGUCAACUGAAAAUACAUUAGAUCAGAUCUAACGUAUUGUCUUCACUGACAUGUGCCGACUUUUGCCAACAAAUUGGAAGACGUUUAAUCCCCUUAAUCCCCUCGAUUUCUUCCUCGAUUCAAAAAUCUUCAAUCGGAAUUUAACUUUAUCAAUUCGCAAAGUUUCCAAAUCCAAUGGGGUGUCGGAACUUGUUCGGAGGUCUUGUGAGCAUGCAUCAAUCCCCGUUAGAUAUCAGAAUGAGGAGUCCAACAAGAGAAUACAGCUGAAAUCCAAGCGCCUCAAUUCUCAAGUCAAAUAUAAGCUAUCCAGAACUGCAAAUCCACCAGCGACUCCACCUUCAUGUGAUGAUGAUAUCUUUGUUCUCAUUAAAUAACCACACUGUUCAUUUACGAUGACAUUCUCUUUCUUCCUGGUAAGAUCAAUCUCAGAUUACCAUGAGCACAUCAAAUGCAUUUACAAACAUUGUCGCUGAAUUCACUAGUGCUAACACGUGCGAACAACGGUGCUGUAGAAGGCAUGAAAUAAAUUAAAAAAAGAAGCUUUGGUUAUCAGAUUUUCCCAUCCGACUCCAACUGCAAAGAUUAAAUUCCAAGUCAUUGAUUUUAAUUAAUCCGAGAUCACAUCCAUCAAACUAAUGAGAGAUGGAGCGACAUCAAAAAAUUACCUCACAUAAGCACCAUAUACCCCGAGUUCUGACAUGGCGUGAUCUUUAUAACAAAUGCCAUCACGAAUGAGAGUUGUGGGAGAAAUGGACGGAAAAAUUCUUUGCAUAAGGAUAUAGGCAGCAUCCUCCUCACUACCUUCACGUUGCAGCCUUAAUAGGGUUUCUCUCACGUCGUCGCCAUAGAUGUUGUUCCCUAAAGAGAGAAAUGACUUCAUUUUAGAAAGAAGAUAGCGCGGCUUAUAACAAAGCAAUCCUUGAAUAAUAUAAUCAAGGUGAGAGAUAAUUACCUCCCCCUUCCCUCUGGGGCUUCAUGACAAAUAGCUCGGGACUUUCAAUUGCUUUACCAACAAUAUGAGGGUCUUCUAAGCUCCAUAAACCUGCAAAGGAUUUCUGGAUCUCGGCAAUGUCUUCUUUGUUCUCAAGGAAUCUGAUAUAUGCACCAAUGGAGUCUCGUAAGUGAUCAAACACGUAGGAGAUAGAGUCUAUUCGACAGUGCAUCUUCUCCUGUAAUUAAAUUGACUUCUAAUGUUCCCAUCGAUAUGUUAUCGAGACUGUUCGGUAAGACAUAUGAAAGGAGCUAAAAUGGCCAUUUGGUAUUAAAAGUAGUCCUUAAUUCGCAGUCCUGGGUGCCAUUGAUUACAUCUAAGCUUCAAACUCAACUAAACAUCAUCAUAUUAGCUAUUGUUGUAUGCAUAGCACACAUCUAUAUACAUUUGUGCUUCAGGAGUUUUUCCAGGAAUGGUACGAUUCCAUAUAAAGCACAGAGCAUCCAGCGCCGCUGCUGGUGGCGCUGUCCUGCCUUCCUCCAUAUCCGGGAGCCCCACCUCCUCCAGUACCGCCUCCAGUAGUGCCUGUGCCCGGGAUCGGUCCUCCUCCAACUCCUCCGCUGCCUGUCCUUCAUCCAUGGCAUCUGGUUCCGUACGGAAGACGGAAAAUACAAGGGUUGCUCCCUGCUGUGCUGUCAUUUGCAGAAUAAAACUCUAGAGCAAAACACAAAUCAGUAUUCUUCCUAUUCCCAAAAAAAAGACAGCAAAAGAAAAGAGAAUACAUGGUUGAAGUUGUAUGGUAGCACAACUUCCUCUUCCCUCCCAUACUGUCCACCAAAGGAGGCGUAGAUGCGUUGAGCGACGUGGUCAACGAACGCAUCGAACUCAUCCAAAUUGAACUUGAAACUAUCCAAGCCGUUCACAAAUGCAGCAAUGGCGUCUGGGGUCCCAAGACGGACCCCAUCAAAAUCCAUGCUCGCUUCAUCAUAAAAGCUUAUCAGCUCUUGCCUAUCUGUUUCCAAAGAAAGAUGGUAUAAUGUACCCCAUUCUGCCGCCAGGUCUUUGAGUCCUUCAUCAUCCAUACCUCUGUUCUGUUCAAGAACAACAGGUGCAACCAACAUACGCAUAAAGAAAAAAAGGAAAAAAAAAAUGGCAGAGCUCGACCUCAUUUCCACAUACUGACCUGUCGACGACGCUCGAAGGGAAAAAGACGGUGGAGCCUCACCGCGAUCGCCGUCCGACGUUUGCAGAGAUUCGACGACGAAAUGAGAGAGCGGGGCGGUAUUCUGUUUAGGAUGACCGAGAAAUGGGUUUUCUCUUCCACCAAUCAGAGUUUUAAAUUUGGGAAAACACGUUUCGCGACGUCGUUUAUACUAUGUAUGCGGAGUUAGAGCAUGGGUGAGCCAAGUCAGAUUGAAAAAAAAAAAAAAAUUGAUAAAAUAUUACUUAUUUUGAAUUUUCAACUAUUCAAAUCAAAGUUAACACUUGAAGUGAAUCAAUAAAGCUACAUCUACCACCACCGCCCGGCCACCAAUCUUUCCUUACACGAGAUACGAGAUUCGAGAUUGGACAGGAUAAUUCCUACUCGCCGACAUUAGACAACUCUCAAAUGGAUGAACUGGCAUUGGAUAGAGCCGUCUGAUUGGGGCAUUUUUCUGCUUCUAGGGUUUGUGUGUGGAAAUCGAACUUACUUAAAUUGUGAAGAUGUUUAAACCAAUUCGAAUUUUGUGAAAGAUAUUUCUGCUUCUAGGAUUUGUGUGUGUGGAAAUCAAACUUACUUAAAUUGUGAAGAUGUUUAAACCAAUUCGAAUUUGUGAAAAACACGUACACAUCAGCAUUCAAAGCCCCCCUCAAAUUUAGUCGGGAUAUUUCUAUUAAUCAAGAUAAUAUAUAUAAUGAUUUCCCAACAAUAGUCAUAAAACUUAUUAUAAGGAUACCAAUUCAGUCUAAAAUUUUUCAAUUUGGUUAAUUCAGUCCUAACCUUUUAUUAAGAUUUGUCAAUAGUCUAUUCGAGCAAUUUUAAAUGACGAUAGGUGGUUGUUAGCCAAAAUUGACCGAAAUUGCUAUAUUGGUAAAUCUUCAAAAGUUUAGAAUUGAAUUAACAAAUUGAAAUUUUUUGAUUGAAUUUGCAUUUAUAUAUUAAGCUUGAGACUUAAAAAGAAAAAUCUCAUGUGCAUCGGUGGAGAAUCCGAAUGCGGUGUCAUAUCUUUUCAUUUGAAAUGUCAAUGUUUGAUACGCAUGCUGUGUUAAGCUGUAUAACGACAUGAAAACCAAAGUCCGUACAUCAUAUCUGGAAAGAUUUCGAUCGGCUAAGGACAAAUACCCAGUUAUUAUCCUACAUGGGAAAUCCGCCAACCGCGCGGUGGCAAGUCAAUGAUUUCAUCUCAAGGAUUGACCACCGAGGUGGCCAGAGCAGCACCUCACAUUUGGCUUUUGUAGAAGAAGAAUCAAAGCGCUUUUCUUUUUGGUAUAUCUAUGAUGAUGAUGAUAUUAUUAUUAUUAUUAUUAUUAUUAUUAUUAUUAUUAUUAUUAUUAUUAUUAUUAUUAUUAUUGAUCUAAUUCUCACGCACUCAAUAUAAUAUUCACACAUACCACGAGGACAUCUAGAGGACCGCAUGCACAUACGUAAGGUAUUCAUUUAUUUAUUCUUGGGUUUCCACGUUGUCUCUUCCUUUUUCUCCUUUUUCUUUUUUCAUUUUUAUAUUCCUUAGAAAUUAGCAGCCCCUUUAGAAGAAGCCUCUAUUCAAGGGGAAGAAAAGGUCGUCCCGGACUCCCCCAUCAUUGAGGUUCCACUAAAAUGACCAUUAAUUCAGGUUUUAAAUUCAAAGAGAUGAUCUCAGGUACCAACUCCUAACAAAAAAAUUAAAUUGGUCUAUACCAUGGUUUUGAUAAUUCAAACAUGAAUGUUUGUCUAAGGGAGAACCAUCACUUCAACGGGUUGCUUAUUAAACUCUCUUUUGAACUUAUCGUGGAAUCAAGCUGAAUUUCAGAUGAUGACAACAAGAGCAUAUGCAGGUGCAUGGUGCUUGCAUGUAUCUUUGCGAUAUAUGGGAAAUUGGGCCAUUUGCAUGAAAAAGUUGUAGGUGCUUCUUACUUUCUUAGUUUGCUAUUGAAAGCACACGGAAAUCGAAAACCAUGGAGAAGUCUAUCAAGUGACUAAACUUGAUUAAUUUGUAGAGCAUGGCACCUGGAGUUAGGCGUAUCGUCGGUUUUGAAUUUCAACUGGUUGUUUAUUAAACUCUCUUUUGAACUUAUCGUGGAAUCAAACUGAAUUUCAGAUGAUGGCAUCAAAAACAUGUACAAGUCGCCACGCCUGCGUGUAUAUUUGCGAUAUAUGGAAAUGGAAAUCAAAAUCGGGCCACUUGCAUGGAAAAAGUUGGAAUUGCUUUUUACUUUCUUAGUUGGCUAUUGAAAGCACACGGAAAUUGAAAACUAUGGAGAAGUCCAUCAAGUGACUAACCUUGAUUAAUCUGUAGAGUUAGGCGUACCGUCGGUCUUGAAUUUUCCAUAUGCAUCGUGAUGGGGGUAUAGAUAAGGGCUUUGCCUAGUAGAGAGGGGUGCGCACGCUAAAUUUUCAGCAUUAAGCUAAAACAUUCUCCUGUGGGUGAUCUAUAGUCUACUGACGCUAGACGCUCUUCUUUUUUCUUUUUCUUUUUUUUUUUUUUUUUUUGGGUGUGAAAUUAAAAAAGAAAAAAGAAGUAAAAGAAGUAAAACUUGUUAGAAACAAUAAUUAUCAAGUUGGAAUGUAGAAAUCAUGUUCAAUGUAUUGUUACUGUGAUUUAAUAUUUGCUUCUUUUCGUUUCUAAUUUGCUAAUAACUUGACAUCCCUUCUAUAGUUAAAAAGGAUUGUGAUAGUUGCGGACGAAGACUUUUGCAUUACAUUGUUUAGGCUGUUCUUUCACAUGCAUUGCUUGUCACUAUAUAGUAAUGAUAUUUUAAAAUGAGCAAUAAACUUACAUCUUAACCCAUAUUUGAUAAGUUGAGUUAUUGCAUGGAUUAGUUAUAUUUAGUAAAUGGAUUUAAAAUAGUAAAGUCUAAGAUAAUAUGGAUAUUAAACAAACUCACAGUUUACUUAAACCAAUUCACCUCUAUGACUCUCUCUCGCCCUUACUGAUCUCGCAAUCACUCACUCCACGUCCUUACCUCAGUUUGCAUAUGAGUUUUCCUAUAUUAGGUAGAACAUGAAAGCGCUUUAACCAUAUGAAUUAGGUUAGAUAGAAAAACGCGUCGGAUCAUUAUGAGUAUCUAAAUUUGUAUUGCAUAAAAAUAAGUCAAAACAACUUAAAUUGGCCAAAUUAGGUCAAUCUAUUUUUCACUCAACCCAAACCCAACCUAAUCCACCCAUUUCACGAGUCUCUAUAAUACUAAGUAUUAGGUUUUUAUCUCUUGUUUCCAACUAUACAAUUUCUUUUUUUUUUUUCUAAAGUAUUAAAGCUCGAUGGUCAGAGUUCUAAUCCUAACCCCAACACAUACUUUUCUUCACGCGUACUUCGAUUUUUGGCAUGCCCACAUUUGUCUACCUUUUCCAUUCUUGUUGUCAUAGAAUCCUCACCAUGUCCUAAAUUGAGGAAUGAAUUAGACUGAAGAAGUAAUUUCGUAGGGAAGUCGACUCAUGCCGUUUGUUGAGAAGAUCGCCUCAAAGUAAAUGGAUUGAUUCGCUUGGAGGAAAUUAAUGUGCAGAUGUCGGUGCGUUUGACAUUUUUUUUUUUUUUUUAAAAUAUCAUUUGUAUUGAAUGACUAAAAGGUAUUUUUAUAUUUCUAUGCAAAUAUUUAAAAAUAAAUGGUUAUCGAUAAAGAAAUUACUUUGUAUUGAUUAAUUAUUUCAUAAAAUAAGCAAUUAUUUUUAAAAUAUAUAUUUUCAGAUUAUUUAUUUUUCACCAAACAAACGGAGUUUGCCUAAUUGUUCGAUUGAUGCUAUUGGUGUUUCUUUUCAAUUCAAUCGUCACGAUAGCAAUAUGAUUAGAUCUUUUUAAAGUCUGAUUCGUUUGCUUUUACGCUAGGAUUUAUAUUUCCUUAAAAGACUUUGAAACCACAUAGCGGUACCUCUCUUGCAUACAUGCUCUUGGGACCACUAUAGUUAAUGCCCAGAUGUGAAGUUGCUUUGGUCACCCCUCCCAACCCAUUUUAAUCUAAAAUAAAAUAUUGACAGAAGGAUAAUAACUCACUCAGCACAUAUCCGAACUUUUGUCCAUCUUAUUAUCAAAUAUCUCAACUUUUUAUUUAUUUGAUCAAGUACCUCAAUUAUUCAAAUUUAACUCAAUAAAAGAUCUCUAGAGAAUAAAUUGUAUUCAUUUCUGUUUUGACUUUUUCAACAACGAAAACCUCUGGCAUAUGAUAUGGCUCGAGUCCUCCACAACUCCAUUAAGCAUUGAUGGAGGAGACUCGUCGUCAAAAGGAACUGCUGAUGAAAAUUCCACUCUGAGAAAGGUACCCACGUAAUUGGAACGGCAGUAGGGAUCCCAGAAGCAAGCAUCUUCACGUACAACCCAUCAAAGCCCCCAAACUCUUCAAACAGCCUUUCAAAUUCCUGGAAUCAUGCAGAAUAACAUUAAAAACCCAAAGAAAUGAAUAAUGCAAAGAAGAAACUAUAAGUUGAAAGAUGCAGUACCUUGAUGUUGACAUGAUAUUCCUUUGUGUCCCCCCUUCAAAGCACCCCAAUCAUGUCUGAAUUGUGCACUGUCUAUAAGCUUCUUGGAUGCAGCAUAAGUUACAGCUACGAGAUCCAUUUCCCACCUAUUUUUCACAUCAUUGUACCUUGUUUUGGACCUCGGUCCAAGAGAAUCUGUUCCUUCAAAGGUGUAAAAAAAUCCAUCAAUCCAAAUUCAGGCGAAGAAGGGGCUGAACUGGAAAAAGAAAAAACAAGGGGGGGCUUUCUAGUCUUUUCAGCCGACGGAGAACCGGUUUCGGGUAGGUCGGUGGAUCCGGACCCGAUGUUUCCAGAAUAAAAAAGAAAACCCUGGAAGCCCUGGAGAAAUUGUCUCCAGUUCACACAGAUCCAGGAGAGAUGUCGACGAUGGGUCCAGAAGAGGUGACAGAAGCGGAAGGAGGAGGAGGAGAGAUGUCGAUGAGGGGUCCGGAAGAAGACAGGGAUGCGAUGAUAGCGGAGGCCAAGCGGUUCGUGGAGAACUACUACAGCACGUUCGACGCGAACAGGGAGGGCUUGGUGAACCUGUACCGGCAACGAUCGGUGCUGAAAAUCGAGGGCCGGAAGAUCCAGGGCAAGGAGGCUAUCCUCGCCAAACUCAUCUCCCUUCCGCAGCCGUGCCACCACGAAUUCCCCGAGAUCAGUUGCUGCACCUAUCGCUUGGCACCCGCAUCGGCAUCGGUCGCCGUGCGCGUCCUGGUCCGCGGCGGGACGUGGUUAGGCGGCAAGAAGGAGGAGGCGGACGCCGCCCUUAUACAGCAGGUCUCUCUCGUUCUCUCUAAGUUAUUAUUUCUUGUCAACGCUUUGCAAUUUCUCUUAUCGAUCAAUCCGUUAAUCAAUCGCAUCGCGCAUAAAUACCGAGAGUACAUCUCAAGCUCCUUGUCUAACGCUCUGGCUGGCUCUGAUUCUUAACCUUCAGAGCUUCAAUCUGGUGCCAGCACGAGGAGGAAGCUUUUACAUAGCUCGACAAUCUGGGAUGCUCUUUGAUCUCAAGAAGCCUCGGUCCGGGGGUCUGUCCUACUGGCUACCGAAACCUCCCUGCUCGGCAGCGCCCUUUCUUGGCCCGUUAUAUCAAAUCCUAUCCUCGGCAUACCCGCCGACGUCGGCUGCCACGGCACCGAGUACGCCUCCGCAUUUCGAACGCCUCAGCAUUUCGAAUCCGAAUGCCACCCAUGAUGAAACUUCCUCCGUCUCUACAGAGACCUGAUGAUAAAACUGUUUUACUUUCAAUGUUCUAGACUCUUGUUUUAUUUUCAAUGUUUUGUUGCACUACUUUUGUGAAUACGUAUUGGAUUCAUGUUCGAAUCCAAGUUCAGCAUAUGUCAUACUGCUCUUAUGAACUGAACUCAGUGGCAGGGCCUUCUAAUUCUCGUGGUAAUAUACUUAAUGUUUCAUGACAUUAGCAGUGAGGAUGUUAAUAUGAUGGAUAAACACUGCUCCUCUCGACAAUACCUCGCCCAUGCUUCUAGAGGAAAUAACUUUUCUUUUAACAUACAAGUUUUAUUUCAUGACUUUAAUAUAGUACAGAUAAUCAUGAGUUAAGAUAAAAAUAAAUAGGGAGCAAUUUACAUUUUGGCCGCCAUCGGCGAAAUGGAAGGUAGACAGAUGACUCUAGGACUCUCUACCAACGAAUUCAGCGGAGCGAGCCGGUCAUUUGACAAGUUGAUUAUGACAUUUUCAGAUAAAUGCAGGAGAAGCGUAUCCUUUUUUUACACCUUUAUUUGAGACUUUGCGGGGCUCCUCCCUUGCAUUGACCGUGCUUAUCCAGCGUCGAGAUUGAUCCGCAUUUGUCCAUUUCACAAUCAUAAAGUGCAUGCAAAAUGGACCGGAGAAGUACUGCAUUACUGUGAUAGUAAAUUGCAGGACUGUCUCCGCCGGUACUUGUGGAUUCAAUCGUGCAAGAAGGGGGGACACCAUUUGCUUCUCAUCAAGCCCCCAACCGUACUGAAUGACCAUUCCUGUCGCCAUCCGUCACAGGUUAUGUAUCUUAAUAUAUAUGUCUACAUGUAUUCACCUUUCGCUGUGAGAGUUUUCUCAUGAAAGGUAAUCUAAGGUAGAGAACAUCGACAAACUUCUCAAAGCAUAAUGUUACAGGACCAACCUCUUGAGUUUGCUUCAGUUCGGAAGAAGAGAGAAAAUUCUUCCCCGGGAGGAAGUAGAAGCUGUGAAGCAACAUCCAAACCAAAGCAAAAUACAAGCUACUUUUCAAGGUAUGAUCUUAGUUCUGAGUUAGCAUUAACAGAGCCUUCACUCCGUGCCUCGGCGAUCUUUGUACAGCCAAUUCCCUGCAAGAAAGGGGUCAAAGUGAACGUCUUUAUAAGACCAAGGGCUCGAAAAUCCCAUAAGGCAUGCAUCUGCAAAUAACUUCUCCUGCGAAGAGGAGAACAAGAACAACCCAGGACACAUGUGGAUACGCUCAAUGUAGCACAAUGAUUAAAUUAAAUCUGCCAAAAUGCUCCAAUGACAGAUAAAGCCAUAAAUAGACAUCUCACGUCAUUGUGUUCGACUGUUUUGAUAUCCCGUUUCAUAUUAAACUCUUGAUCCUUAGAUACGACGGCAAGGAUCAUGGCCAACAAAAGCAUGGGACUGAUUCACUGAGUGCCCAGAUAAAGAAGGUAAUUUAUCAUGUCAAUAGCAUGAAUGGAUGACGGUACCACUGAAUGAAAAGUUCGAUAACGAACAACAUGCCAAUGCACAUAGCUUGAAAAGUGCCAGAAGGAAAAAGCACAAAAAAGAUUGAAAUGGCGAGCUGACAUCCAUGAAGGAUGAUGACAUUCCCUGUUCAGCAGUAGAACAGGACCCCUAAAAUAGGAAUAAGGCACUUGCCGGUACUUGCUCAUGAGCUUAAUAAGGCGCAUGCUAUUUCAUUACGAGAAAGAAAAAGAGGACAAUAACCUGCCACGUACAUGGUUCAAGCCACAAAUUGUCGACAACAUCAGAGUUUGAUAGUCAAAGAGCUAUAAGGCCAUGACCAGCCGCCCAAACAGCAUGAGGGAACUUGGUUUCCUCUGUCCACUUUCAAAUCGUCCAUAUUAUGCAAGUCACCUCAAAGAAACCAACGGAACUUGUACGCAUAACGAUAUCAUCGUUUGCUCGCUGGUCCGGGUAUAUCAAGUUAGCUAAAAUUUUAGAACAAUGAUUCUUAUCUGAUAACCCUACCACCUUCUAUUUUUAACCACUGAAUUUGUUGUACUCCCGAUUCUUUAGAGUGCGCAAAAAAUAAAACAGCAGAAAUUUAUAGAUUAGAAUUUUGUCAAUUUUUAGAAUUGUUCGGAAGACAAUAGCCCGGGAUAGUCCAACAAACUAAUAGUAAGCAUCAAGGAGAAUUAAUUGAGCAUAACUCCAUUGUUUAUUUGGCCGUACGGUUCAAUUAGAUCAACGACAUUCUGUGUGUCCUCCUCAGUCAAUGUCAGCCCCAGAUGAUUCACCAGCAUUCGGCUAAUCUGCCUCACAACUUUCGUUUGCCGAAUCCAUUUAGGAACCAUAUUGCUCAAGGCCUAUGCAAAAUAAUGAGCGAAUAAUAUGCAUAUGGUAUAAAAUAUAUCACAUAAUGGGUAACCGCUCCAACCUCCAAAACUUCCAUUUUUACUCUCCUCCGAGAAUGAGAUUAGAGCACAAAGUCCCGGUGCUUAUUGGUUUUAGCAAAGAGAAAAUGAUCGAUUCAAGCAGAACUGAAUUUUGCUUCCCCUUACUCUUCGUCAAUUAUAAUUUAUGUUCCCUUUCCUCUGAACAAAAGAAAAAGGGACAUGCAGCCAGUUCCAUGGACCCCCGGGAAUCGGAUCGGGCAAAUCCGAAUCCAAAGCCGAAUAGGUUGGUUCCCAAUUUCACAAACUAGGACCCAGCCCCGUCUGGUCAAGUUCCCGGUUCCGGAGUGGGCCAAUUUAGCUCAGAAUCUACCCAUAAUCGGGUUCAAACAGUUCAGAGAAAAUUCAAAAUAACUUGGAAUUACCACCGCUCAAAGUUAGAAAAUCAAUCGUCAAAAAAAGUUAAAAAAUCAACAUCCCACUGAGAACCUUUCAGAUCAUCAUGUAACGUCAACUGAAAACACAUUAGAUCAGAUCUAACGUAUUGUCUUCACUGACAUGUGCCGACUUUUGCCAACAAAUUGGAAGACGUUUAAUCCCCUUAAUCCCCUCGAUUUCUUCCUCGAUUCAAAAAUCUUCAAUCGGAAUUUAACUUUAUCAAUUCGCAAAGUUUCCAAAUCCAAUGGGGUGUCGGAACUUGUUCGGAGGUCUUGUGAGCAUGCAUCAAUCCCCGUUAGAUAUCAGAAUGAGGAGUCCAACAAGAGAAUACAGCUGAAAUCCAAGCGCCUCAAUUCUCAAGUCAAAUAUAAGCUAUCCAGAACUGCAAAUCCACCAGCGACUCCACCUUCAUGUGAUGAUGAUAUCUUUGUUCUCAUUAAAUAACCACACUGUUCAUUUACGAUGACAUUCUCUUUCUUCCUGGUAAGAUCAAUCUCAGAUUACCAUGAGCACAUCAAAUGCAUUUACAAACAUUGUCGCUGAAUUCACUAGUGCUAACACGUGCGAACAACGGUGCUGUAGAAGGCAUGAAAUAAAUUAAAAACAGAAGCUUUGGUUAUCAGAUUUUCCCAUCCGACUCCAACUGCAAAGAUUAAAUUCCAAGUCAUUGAUUUUAAUUAAUCCGAGAUCACAUCCAUCAAACUAAUGAGAGAUGGAGCGACAUCAAAAAAUUACCUCACAUAAGCACCAUAUACCCCGAGUUCUGACAUGGCGUGAUCUUUAUAACAAAUGCCAUCACGAAUGAGAGUUGUGGGAGAAAUGGACGGAAAAAUUCUUUGCAUAAGGAUAUAGGCAGCAUCCUCCUCACUACCUUCACGUUGCAGCCUUAAUAGGGUUUCUCUCACGUCGUCGCCAUAGAUGUUGUUCCCUAAAGAGAGAAAUGACUUCAUUUUAGAAAGAAGAUAGCGCGGCUUAUAACAAAGCAAUCCUUGAAUAAUAUAAUCAAGGUGAGAGAUAAUUACCUCCCCCUUCCCUCUGGGGCUUCAUGACAAAUAGCUCGGGACUUUCAAUUGCUUUACCAACAAUAUGAGGGUCUUCUAAGCUCCAUAAACCUGCAAAGGAUUUCUGGAUCUCGGCAAUGUCUUCUUUGUUCUCAAGGAAUCUGAUAUAUGCACCAAUGGAGUCUCGUAAGUGAUCAAACACGUAGGAGAUAGAGUCUAUUCGACAGUGCAUCUUCUCCUGUAAUUAAAUUGACUUCUAAUGUUCCCAUCGAUAUGUUAUCGAGACUGUUCGGUAAGACAUAUGGAAGGAGCUAAAAUGGCCAUUUGGUAUUAAAAGUAGUCCUUAAUUCGCAGUCCUGGGUGCCAUUGAUUACAUCUAAGCUUCAAACUCAACUAAACAUCAUCAUAUUAGCUAUUGUUGUAUGCAUAGCACACAUCUAUAUACAUUUGUGCUUCAGGAGUUUUUCCAGGAAUGGUACGAUUCCAUAUAAAGCACAGAGGAUGAAGAAAUGUGAUCUGUUGAACAAAAUAUAUCACCUUUCAAGUACAUUAGGUUUUGCAAGUUCUUGCUGAAUCUUUUUCGUGCCGGCUAAAUGAUAAGAUAUGGAUGGGCACUUAAUUGCAGAUGACUCUUCCGUAAGUAGCCUUGCUCUCCAUUCCUACAAUACAGCAAGAAACAAAACUUAAGUCACACCUUUCAAGCAUUGACCCAGGGCUUAAGAUUUCCGCACUUCUUACUAUUUUAUAACAUAGGGUUUUCAAGUGGCACUAAUUUGACGCCUGUCAACUUCUUGAGGUUGUGUGAAGAAUGGAUUUCAUAUUUCCUCUUAUUGGUUUCUUUCCAUUCCCUCUGUUUACUUACUUUGUGGAUAAUCAUUUAUUUGCCUUCCACCCAGAAAUUUUUUUAAGUUGAUGAUAUUUUCUGGAACAAAGUCCACUUUUUCCAUAACCAAUUGGACAAACUUGGUUAUUUGGAGGAAAUGUCAUGAUUACAUUGUUUAGUAUUCUUUUACAUCGCAUAAUGCUAUAUGUUUUGAACAUGAAGUCAAUUGUUUAGCCAAGCUUGGCUUACGAAUGUUCAUAUGUACAUUAUCAAGUAUUGUUCAUUGUGGCCAGUCUCAUGGAAUUAUGAUAUAGUAAUGAGGGAAUCCUAACAAUCAAAAUGUGCAGGAAAUAGAGAAGUAUAUUAUAAUCAUGAAUCUAACAGAAAUAAUCGACUUGCAUAAAACAUCAUGAUGAUACUAAUAAUUGUUCUAUUCAGUCAUCAAGACAUAUAAAAGCGAAUCUUUAUGAAAACUAGAGUAAGGAUGCAGUCACUAUAACAUUGUAAGAAAUGCUGCCACAGAAAUAUUUUAUGAGAAGAAUAAAACCCGCCUCAAACGCGGGAUUUUCACUAGUAUGGUAAUAAAACAUAUCUAUAAAGAAAGCAUCUGGUAAAGCUAAAAUGGAAGGAGAAAUUUUCUGAAAAUUAAUCACAGCUACAGUCAAUAUUUCAAGGAAGACAAUCUUCUCUUAGUUGCUAUUAGCUAAUUAUUAGGAUAAGGCUUAAGGAUGUACCGAUUCUGAAGGAUAAUCAUUUGGGGUAUACCCGGCUCUAAAAUAAAUAGCUGCUACAGGGACUCCACCUCUUGCAAUAGCAAAUCUUCAUUAUGUAAGUGAAACGUGCAUGUAAAGCCAAAGUUCAACAAGAUAAACUAGAGAUGUCAGCAACUACAUACACAAGUAACGUCCCAUCAGGCUGAAGUUCCCCCUCUGCAUCAAUUUCUGCUAAGGUCUUCCGAAUAGACCUCACAUUAUGUGUGUUAUAUAAUUAAGGAAGCAUCCAAAGCAAAUUAUGGACAUGAAGAGACUGAUGGACAGAAAUAGAGAACUUUAUAGUUUGGAAAGCAGAUUUUUGGACGCAGAGCAUCAUAGCAGAUAGAUGUAGAAUCCAAGAAAUGAUCUAAGAGAGACAAAGAGAGAUAAUCACAGAUAUAACCUACCCUUCUGAUAUCUCAAAACAAUCGCUAGUAUAUAGAAGGAUAUCUUUCGCUCACGACAGAGCUAAGCCAGUGCAGGUCGUACAUAUUUCGUUCCUCUGUCUGAACCACAACCAGAACAGUGGCCCUGUUAAAAGUAAUCAAUUGUAAUCAGGUCUUAAUGAAAUAUACUCCACAUAUGCAGACCUAUGAAUAAAAAAAAGAAAAGAAGACGACCAUAAUUAUUUUGCAAUUCUUACUUUGGGUUAUUGAACUCGAUCCAAGCUUUGGCCAAGGCCUCUGCAUAAUGACUCACAGCAGCAUUGGUAGGGAUCCUCCUGGGAUCUAACCCAAGAGUUUCGCCAUAAUGGCUGAGCAAGGACCCGUGUCAUUGCCACCUGACGUUAAGAUCAAGCUUUUGGUCUUCUGUGACCAUCUUUGACCGUGCAUGUGAACAGGUGCGUAUGGGCUUAGAGAAAUCACAGGGAAUGUAAGAGUCAGUACAUAUGACCAACCUAACCUGUGGAGCUCACUAACAAGACAGCCAAGACCCGGAAAUGAGGAUGAUAUGGUGUUCAGUUCUAUCUGAAGCAGUAACUUCGUUUGUUCAUCAAGCGUAUAAUCCGAUUGAUGCAAACCCAGUCGUAUCUCCUGUGGAGAAUUGAGAGAGCAAAAUUAUGGGGUUUAGCACACUAAUCAUAUUCAGCAAUCAGCAUAUUUUUCUUCCAGACGAGGAAAGCAGCCAAUCAAAGUGACAUGAACUUGAAAAGCCAGUUUUAAUACACUAUUGCAACCAAACUUAAGGUAAAGCUUUCACAAAAUUCUAAAUUUAUGAACUUACAUCUUUUUUAUUAAUUUCCAUCAUCUUGGAAUGGAUAUCUACGAGUCGAGAGGUGAAAGCAUCCACCUCUUUUGUUCUGCAAUGAGAAGAAGUUACAUCAUGUAAUUCAACAGUAAGUUCGGACUUGCUUCACCAAUGCGACAACUAAAAGCCGGACUACAAAAAUACCAUUGAUUGCAAGGAAGGUAGAAGGGCUCAUAAUUUCCAAAAUACUAGGUUAUGAGAAAAAUAGAAGAGCUAAAAGGAGUUGAAUUUUUCAUAAGCUAAGAAACAACCAAGAGCAUAUGAUACAAGCCAAAGCAGAGUGAGAAUUGAAUCAGACCUAAGAAUUCACAUGAAACAAUGGUCUUAAUCUUCUUGAAUUGGACACUAUAUGCUUAUAGCAUAAACUACAUGCCGUAUUCGACCAAAAGAAGAAAAAAAAAAAAAACUACAUGCUGCAGACAUAUAGAUAAAGCAGAAUAAAUACCUGGAUAAUGAAUCUUGUAAAAACUUUCCAUCCAAACUCACACGAUCGACAAGCUCAUUGAAAAUAGGAGCUAAUUCGCAAGCCUCCCUAAACUGACUCUCGGGAAUGAGAUGGGCAACAAAGCAAACGGAGCAUGCAUCAGACCGACACCAGGUGCUUUUCCUGAUCUCUGCAACACAUACGCAUAAAUACCAUUAUCAGUCAAACUGUAGAAUUAAACAACCCAGAUCAAAUUCGACAGGAAACUCCAUAAACAGCACAUCAGAAAGUCGCAUAUUCCAAGUCAUUGAUUUUGAUUAAUCAGAGAUCACAUCCAUCAAACUAAUGAGAGAUGGAGUGACAUCAAAAAAUUACCUCACAUAAGCACCAUAUACCCCGAGUUCUGACAUGGCGUGAUCUUUAUAACAAAUGCCAUCACGAAUGAGAGUUGUGGGAGAAAUGGACGGAAAAAUUCUAUGCAUGAGGAUAUAGGCAGCAUCCUCCUCACUCCCUUCACGUUGCAGCCUUAAUAGGGUUUCUCUCACAUCGUCGCCAUAGAUGUUGUUCCCUAAAGAGAGAAAUGACUUCAUUUUAGAAAGAAGAUAGCGCGGCUUAUAACAAAGCAAUCCUUGAAUAAUAUAAUCAAGGUGAGAGAUAAUUACCUCCCCCUUCCCUCUGGGGCUUCAUGACAAAUAGCUCGGGACUUUCAAUUGCUUUACCAACAAUAUGAGGGUCUUCUAAGCUCCAUAAACCUGCAAAGGAUUUCUGGAUCUCGGCAAUGUCUUCUUUGUUCUCAAGGAAUCUGAUAUAUGCACCAAUGGAGUCUCGUAAGUGAUCAAACACGUAGGAGAUAGAGUCUAUUCGACAGUGCAUCUUCUCCUGUAAUUAAAUUGACUUCUAAUUUUCCCAUCGAUAUGUUAUCGAGACUGUUCGGUAAGACAUAUGAAUGGAGCUAAAAUGGCCAUUUGGUAUUAAAGGUAGUCCUUAAUUCGCAGUCCUGGGUGCCAUUGAUUACAUCUUAGCUUCAAACUCAACUAAACAUCAUCAUAUUAGCUAUUGUUGUAUGCAUAGCACACAUCUAUAUACAUUUGUGCUUCAGGAGUUUUUCCAGGAAUGGUACGAUUCCAUAUAAAGCACAGAGGAUGAAGAAAUGUGAUCUGUUGAACAAAAUAUAUCACCUUUCAAGUACAUUAGGUUUUGCAAGUUCUUGCUGAAUCUUUUUCGUGCCGGCUAAAUGAUAAGAUAUGGAUGGGCACUUAAUUGCAGAUGACUCUUCCGUAAGUAGCCUUGCUCUCCAUUCCUACAAUACAGCAAGAAACAAAACUUAAGUCACACCUUUCAAGCAUUGACCCAGGGCUUAAGAUUUCCGCACUUCUUACUAUUUUAUGACAUAGGGUUUUCAAGUGGCACUAAUUUGACGCCUGUCAACUUCUUGAGGUUGUGUGAAGAAUGGAUUUCAUAUUUCCUCUUAUUGGUUUCUUUCCAUUCCCUCUGUUUACUUACUUUGUGGAUAAUCAUUUAUUUGCAUUCCACCCAGAAAUUUUUUUAAGUUGAUGACAUUUUCUGGAACAAAGUCCACUUUUUCCAUAACCAAUUGGACAAACUUGGUUAUUUGGAGGAAAUGUCAUGAUUACAUUGUUUAGUAUUCUUUUACAUCGCAUAAUGCUAUAUGUUUUGAACAUUAAGUCAAUUGUUUAGCCAAGCUUGGCUUACGAAUGUUCAUACGUACAUUAUCAAGUAUUGUUCAUUGUGGCCAGUCUCAUGGAAUUAUGAUAUAGUAAUGAGGGAAUCCUAACAAUCAAAAUGUGCAGGAAAUAGAGAAGUAUAUUAUAAUCAUGAAUCUAACAGAAAUAAUCGACUUGCAUAAAACAUCAUGAGGAUACUAAUAAUCGUUCUAUUCAAUCAUCAAUACAUAUAAAUGUAAAUCUUUAUGAAAACUAGAGUAAGGAUGCAGUCAUUAUAACAUUGUAAGAAAUGCUGACGCAGAAAUAUUUUAUGAGAAGAAUAAAACCCGCCUCAAACGCGGGAUUUUCACUAGUAUGGUAAUAAAACAUAUCUAUAAAGAAAGCAUCUGGUAAAGCUAAAAUGGAAGGAGAAAUUUUCCGAAAAUUAAUCACAACUACAAUCAAUAUUACCUCCCCCUUCCCUCUGGGGCUUCAUGACAAAUAGCUCGGGACUUUCAAUUGCUUUACCAACAAUAUGAGGGUCUUCUAAGCUCCAUAAACCUGCAAAGGAUUUCUGGAUCUCGGCAAUGUCUUCUUUCUUCUCAAGGAAUCUGAUAUAUGCACCAAUGGAGUCUCGUAAGUGAUCAAACACGUAGGAGAUACAGUCUAUUCGACAGCUCAUCUUCUCCUGUAAUUAAAUUGACUUCUAAUGUUCCCAUCGAUAUGUUAUCGAGACUGUUCGGUAAGACAUAUGAAAGGAGCUAAAAUGGCCAUUUGGUAUUAAAAGUAGUCCUUAAUUCGCAGUCCUGGGUGCCAUUGAUUACAUCUAAGCUUCAAACUCAACUAAACAUCAUCAUAUUAGCUAUUGUUGUAUGCAUAGCACACAUCUAUAUACAGACAAAAUGAGUUUCAGUCUAAUAAAAUGUAAAGCAAAGCUGGGAGCGCUUCAAGCAUCCAGCGCCGCUGCUGGUGGCGCUGUCCUGCCUUCCUCCAUAUCCGGGAGCCCCACUUUCUCCAGUAGUGCCUGAAACUGGGAUCGGUCCUCCUCCUCCUCCAUCCAUCCUCCUCCUCCGCUGCCUGUCCUUCAUCCAUGGCAUCUGGUUCCGUACGGAAGACGGAAAAUACAAGGGUUGCUCCCUGCUGUGCUGUCAUUUGCAGAAUAAAACUCUAGAGCAAAACACAAAUCAGUAUUCUUCCUAUUCCCAAAAAAAAGGCACAGCAAAAGAAAAGAGAAUACAUGGUUGAAGUUGUAUGGUAGCACAACGUCCUCUUCCCUCCCAUACUGUCCACCAAAGGAGGCGUAGAUGCGUUGAGCGACGUGGUCAACGAACGCAUCGAACUCAUCCAAAUGGAACUUGAAUCUAUCCAAACCGUUCACAAACGCAGCAAUGGCCUCCGGGGUCCCAAGACGGACCCCAUCAAAAUCCAUGCACGCUUCAUCAUAAAAGCUUAUCAGCUCUUGCCUAUCCCUUGCCAAAAUAUCAUGGUAUAACACACCCCAACCUGCCGCCAUGUCUUUGAGUCUUUCAUCAUCCAUACCUCUGUUCUGUUCAAGAACAAUAGGUGCAAAUAACGUACGCAUAAAGAAAAAAAGGAAAAAAAAAAAAAUGGCAGAGCUCGACCUCAUUUCCACAUACUGACCUGUCGACGACGCUCGAAGGGAAAAAGACGGUGGAGCCUCACCGCGAUCGCCGUCCGACGUUUGCAGAGAUUCGACGACGAAAUGAGAGAGCGGGGCGGUAUUCUGUUUAGGAUGACCGAGAAAUGGGUUUUCUCUUCCACCAAUCAGAGUUUUAAAUUUGGGAAAACACGUUUCGCGACGUCGUUUAUACUAUGUAUGCGGAGUUAGAGCAUGGGUGAGCCAAGUCAGAUUGAAAAAAAAAAAAAAUUGAUAAAAUAUUACUUAUUUUGAAUUUUCAACUAUUCAAAUCAAAGUUAACACUUGAAGUGAAUCAAUAAAGCUACAUCUACCACCACCGCCCGGCCACCAAUCUUUCCUUACACGAGAUACGAGAUUCGAGAUUGGACAGGAUAAUUCCUACUCGCCGACAUUAGACAACUCUCAAAUGGAUGAACUGGCAUUGGAUAGAGCCGUCUGAUUGGGGCAUUUUUCUGCUUCUAGGGUUUGUGUGUGGAAAUCGAACUUACUUAAAUUGUGAAGAUGUUUAAACCAAUUCGAAUUUGUGAAAGAUAUUUCUGCUUCUAGGGUUUGUGUGUGGAAAUCAAACUUACUUAAAUUGUGAAGAUGUUUAAACCAAUUCGAAUUUGUGAAAAACACGUACACAUCAGCAUUCAAAGUCCCCCUCAAAUUUAGUCGCGAUAUUUCUAUUAAUCAAGAUAAUAUAUAUAAUGAUUUCCCAAAAAUAGUCAUAAAACUUAUUACAAGGAUACCAAUUCAGUCUAAAAUUUUUCAAUUUGCUUAAUUUAGUCCUAACCUUUUAUUAAGAUUUGUCAAUAGUCUAUUCGAGCAAUUUUAAAUGACGAUAGGUGGUUGUUAGCCAAAAUUGACCGAAAUUGCUAUAUUGGUAAAUCUUCAAAAGUUUAAAAUUGAAUUAAUACAUUGAAAAAUUUUGAUUGAAUUUGCAUUUAUAUAUUAAGUUUGAGACUUAAAAAGAAAAAUCUCAUGUGCAUUGGUGGAGAAUCCGAAUGCGGUGUCAUAUCUUUUCAUUUGAAAUGUUAAUGUUUGAUACGCAUGCUGUGUUAAGCUGUAUAACGACAUGUAAACCAAAGUCCGUACAUCAUAUCUGGAAAGAUUUCGAUCGGCUAAGGACAAAUACCCGGUUAUUAUCCCACAUGGGAAAUCCGCCAACCGCGCGGUGGCAAGUCAAUGAUCUCAUCUCAAGGAUUGACCGCCGAGGUGGCCAGAGCAGCACCUCACAUUUGGCUUUUGUAGAAGAAGAAUCAAAGCGCUUUUCUUUUUGGUAUAUCUAUGAUGAUGAUGAUAUUAUUAUUAUUAUUAUUAUUAUUAUUAUUAUUAUUAUUAUUGAUCUAAUUCUCACGGACUCAAUAUAAUAUUCACACAUACCACGAGGACAUCUAGAGGACCGCAUGCACAUACGUAAGGUAUUCAUUUAUUUAUUAUUGGGUUUCCACGUUGUCUCUUCCUUUUUCUCCUUUUUCUUUUUUCAUUUUUAUAUUCCUUAGAAAUUAGCAGCCCCUUUAGAAGAAGCCUCUAUUCAAGGGGAAGAAAAGGUCGUCUCGGACUCCCCCAUCAUUGAGGUUCCACUAAAAUGACCAUUAAUUCAGGUUUUAAAUUCAAAGAGAUUGUCUCAGGUACCAACUCCUAACAAAAAAAUUAAAUUGGUCUAUACCAUGAUUUUGAUAAUUCAAAGAGAUUGUCUAAGGGAGAACCAUCACUUCAACGGGUUGCUUAUUAAACUCUCUUUUGAACUUAUCGUGGAAUCAAACUGAAUUUCAAAUGAUGACAACAAGAGCAUGUGCAGGUGCAUGGUGCUUGCAUGUAUCUUUGCGAUAUAUGGGAAAUUGGGUCAUUUGCAUGAAAAAGCUGUAGGUGCUUCUUACUUUCUUAGUUUGCUAUUGAAAGCACACGGAAAUCGAAAACCAUGGAGAAGUCUAUCAAGUGACUAAACUUGAUUAAUCUGUAGAGCAUGGCACCUAGAGUUAGGCGUAUUGUCGAUCUUGAAUUUCAACGGGUUGUUUAUUAAACUCUCUUUUGAACUUAUCGUGGAAUCAAACUGAAUUUUAGAUGAUGGCAUCAAGAAUAUGUGCAAGUCGCCACGCUUGCGUGUAUAUUUGCGAUAUAUGGAAAUGGAAAUCAAAAUCGGGCCACUUGCAUGGAAAAAGUUGGAAUUGCUUUUUACUUUCUUAGUUGGCUAUUGAAAGCACGUGGAAAUUGAAAACUAUGGAGAAGUCCAUCAAGUGACUAACCUUGAUUAAUCUGUAGAGUUAGGCGUACCGUCGGUCUUGAAUUUUCCGUAUGCAUCGUGAUGAGGGUAUAGAUAAGGGCUUUGCCUAGUAGAGAGGGGUGUGCACGCUAAAUUUUCAGCAUUAAGCUAAAACAUUCUCCUGUGGGUGAUCUAUAGUCUACUGACGCUAGACGCCCUUCUUUUUUCUUUUUUCUGGGUGUGAAAUUAAAAAGAAAAAGAAAAAAAGAGAAGUAAAACUUGUUAGAAACAAUAAUUAUCAAGUUGGAAUGUAGAAAUCAUGUUCAAUGUAUUGUUACUGUGAUUUAAUAUUUGCUUCUUUUCGUUUCUAAUUUGCUAAUAACUUGACAUCCCUUCUAUAGUUAAAAAGGUUGUGAUAGUUGCGGACGAAGACUUUUGCAUUACAUUGUUUAGGCUGUUUUUUCACAUGCAUUGCUUGUCACUAUAUAGUAAUGAUCUUUUAAAAUGAGCAAUAAACUUAUAUCUUAACCCAUAUUUGAAAAGUUGAGUUAUUGCAUGGAUUAGUUAUAUUUAGUAAAUGGAUUUAAAAUAGUAAAGUCUAAAAUAAUAUGGAUAUUAAACAAACUCACGGUUUACUUAAACCAAUUCACCUCUAUGACUCUCUCUCGCCCUUACUAAUCUCGCAAUCACUCACUCCACGUCCUUACCUCAGUUUGCAGAUGAGUUUUCCUAUAUUAGGUAGAACAUGAAAGCGCUUUAACCAUAUGAAUUAGGUUAGAUAGAAAAACGCGUCAGAUCAUUAUGAGUAUCUAAAUUUGUAUUGCAUAAAAAUAAGUCAAAACAACUUAAAUUGGCCAAAUUAGGUCAAUUUAUUUUUCACUCAACCCAAACCCAACCUAAUCCACCCAUUUCACGAGUCUCUAUAAUACUAAGUAUUAGGUUUUUAUCUCUUGUUUCCAACUAUACAAAUUUUUUUUCUAAAGUAUUAAAGCUCGAUGGUCAGAGUUCUAAUCCUAACCCCGACACAUACUAUUCUUCACGCGUACUUCGAUUUUUGGCAUGCCCACAUUUGUCUACCUUUUCCAUUCUUGUUGUCAUAGAAUCCUCACCAUGUCCUAAAUUGAGGAAUGAAUUAGACUGAAGAAGUAAUUUCGUAGGGAAGUCGACUCAUGCCGUUUGUUCAGAAGAUCGCCUCAAAGUAAAUGGAUUGAUUCGCUUGGAGGAAAUUGAUGUGCACUUGUCGGUGCGUCUAACAUUUUUUUUUUUAUAAAUAUCAUUUGUAUUGAAUGACUAAAAUAUAUUUUUAUUUUUCUAUGCAAAUAUUUAAAAAUAAAUGGUUAUCGAUAAAGAAAUUACUUUGUAUUGAUUAAUUAUUUCAUAAAAUAAGCAAUUAUUUUUAAAAUAUAUAUUUUCAGAUUAUUUAUUUUUCACCAAACAAACGGAGUUUGCUUAAUUGUUCGAUUGAUGCUAUUGGUGUUUCUUUUCAAUUCAAUCGCCUCGUCAACAAUCUCCUCUGACCCCUUAACGAACCCCUCUCUCUCUCUUCAAUUCCCUCACCUCCUCGCACGUACCCCGCCCGCAUUGUCUCCUCCUCCUGCAAUUGCCGUUUUUCCAAUUUCACCGCCUUCAUCGCCACCUCCACCUCCUCGAUACGCCCCUCCCCUCUCCUAAUCUCAUCCAUCCAUCUCAGAACCACCGAAACCUUCUCCAGCAAUCUCUCCGUGCAAUUCCAAUACUCGUGCCCUUUCACUUCCGACCGCUCCUCAAUUCUCUCCAAAUUCAGCCGUAGCGGUGGCGAAGAAGGGGCUGAACUGGAAAAAGAAAAAACAAGGGGGGGCUUUCUAGUCUUUUCAGCCGACAGAGAACCGGUUUCGGGUCGGUCGGUGGAUCCGGACCCGAUGAUUCCAAAAUAAAAAAGAAAACCCUGGAAGCCCUAGAGAAAUUGUCUCCAGUUCACACAGAUCCAGCAGGAGGAGGAGGAGGAGGAGGAGGAGGAGAGAUGUCGACGAUCGGUCCAGAAGACGUGACAGAAGCGGAAGGAGGAGGAGGAGGAGAGAUGUCGAUGGUGGGUCCGGAAGAAGACAGGGAUCCGAUGAUAGCGGAGGCCAAGCGGUUCGUGGAGAACUACUACAGCACGUUCGACGCGAACAGGGAGGGCUUGGUGAACCUGUACCGGCAACGAUCGGUGCUGAAAAUCGACGGCCGGAAGAUCCAGGGCAAGGAGGCUAUCCUCGCCAAACUCACCUCCCUUCCGCAGCCGUGCCACCACGAAUUCGCCGAGGUCAGUUGCGGCACCUAUCGCUUGGCACCCGCAUCGGCAUCGGUCGCCGUGUCCGUCCUGGUCGGGGGCGGGACGUGGUUAGGCGGCAAGAAGGAGGAGGCGGACGCCGCCCUUAUACAGCAGGUCUCUCUCGUUCUCUCUAAGUUAUUAUUUCUUGUCAACGCUUUGCAAUUUCUCUCAUCGAUCAAUCCAUUAAUCAAUCGCAUCGCGCAUAAAUACCGAGAGUACAUCUCAAGCUCCUUGUCUAACGCUCUGGCUGG
rnacentral:lncRNA from 1 species